rnacentral:rRNA from 1 species
UACAGAGGGUGCGAUCGUUGCUCGGAAUUACUGGGCGUAAAGCGCACGUAGGCGGAUCUUUAAGUCAGGGGUGAAAUCCCGAGGCUCAACCUCGGAACUGCCUUUGAUACUGGGGAUCUCGAGUCCGGGAGAGGUGAGUGGAACUGCGAGUGUAGAGGUGAAAUUCGUAGAUAUUCGCAAGAACACCAGUGGCGAAGGCGGCUCACUGGCCCGGUACUGACGCUGAGGCACGAAAGCGUGGGGAGCAAACAGG